GACGAACGCUGGCGGCGUGCCUAAUACAUGCAAGUAGAACGCACAGGAUGCACCGUAGUUUACUACACCGUAUUCUGUGAGUUGCGAACGGGUGAGUAACGCGUAGGUAACUUGCCUGGUAGCGGGGGAUAACUAUUGGAAACGAUAGCUAAUACCGCAUAAGAACAUUUACUGCAUGGUAGAUGUUUAAAAGGUGCAAAUGCAUCACUACCAGAUGGACCUGCGUUGUAUUAGCUAGUAGGUGAGGUAACGGCUCACCUAGGCGACGAUACAUAGCCGACCUGAGAGGGUGAUCGGCCACACUGGGACUGAGACACGGCCCAGACUCCUACGGGAGGCAGCAGUAGGGAAUCUUCGGCAAUGGGGGGAACCCUGACCGAGCAACGCCGCGUGAGUGAAGAAGGUUUUCGGAUCGUAAAGCUCUG
rnacentral:rRNA from 1 species